GGCUGCCUUUGGCCCCUGGUCAUUGUCAACAAAUAAAUCUGACGAGCGCUGUUUUCCCAUUCCCAGAGUCAGGCCCGAUAGCCAAGGCCAAGCCAGCAGGAGGCUAGAAGCCAUAAACAGAGCCAUGGCAGGAUCAGUGCCAUCCUGUUUAACCCCAAGGCAGGGCUACUUUCUGCAACGGGAAAGAGUGGUAAGUAGCCCGUGGACUGAAUGCACCUUGCCCUCCAUCGUCCAGUGUGGACACCAAGCAGCCAAGGCCCAGGACCUCCCCCUCUGCCGUGCCUCCGCACCCCUGAUGCAGAGUGCCACUGCGGCCCUGGACAUCAGCCACCACAGGUAAAUGCAGGAAGGAAGCCCAGCACUCAAGCUCUGCGGGAGAGCCCUUCAGCUUUCCUAAGGGGCAAAGGGCCUUCGAGCGCUGCCCAGUGAAAAGACUGCCACCAAGCUUGAGUCUGAAAAGCCCUGGCCAGGAACUCAGUUUGCAUAAGACACAAACACAAAGACACCAAGAAUUCCUCGAUACCGCAAGAGUAUUUCCGGACCAGGGAAGACCAAACAACGAAGACAGGCGCCAGGGCCGGCCUUGCACUCACCUCCGCCCUUCACACCUGAGCCUGGAUUUAUCGCUAGCUGAUGGGUCUGGACCCUGGUGCGGCCCGGGGCUGCAGUUGAUUCGGGAGACAAGGAGUUCGUUUCCCCAGAGGAGCCGAGUGCCCAAGGCACGGGGCUGUCGCCGCCAGAAGACCGCCUUGGGGACGCCCUCCCGCCGUCGGGGAGACUGGCCGGCCUGGGCCGCCGUUGUGGGGAAGGGUUGGCCCUCGGCAGCUGAACCCGUCUUUUUAUUAAAGUUUAUGCCGUUUUG